rnacentral:rRNA from 1 species
AUUGAACGCUGGCGGCAGGCCUAACACAUGCAAGUCGAGCGGUAGAGAGAAGCUUGCUUCUCUUGAGAGCGGCGGACGGGUGAGUAAUGCCUAGGAAUCUGCCUGGUAGUGGGGGAUAACGUCCGGAAACGGACGCUAAUACCGCAUACGUCCUACGGGAGAAAGCAGGGGACCUUAAGGCCUUGCGCUAUCAGAUGAGC